GGAGUCUAGUAAAUGAGCGAGUCUAAGGUAUCGGUCGAAUACCGCAGGCGUUGUGAAGGCACUUGCUCGUCGCGGUUUCGCACCCUGUGUGCGGCCGUGCGGGCGCGCGCCAGCUUCAUAGCGAUGAUGGGCGCCCGAACAGCGUUCCGCAAUCGCGAGGUGGUCUCGUUCUCGCUCGUCGGGAAGAGCCAUCCUUUUAGCUCACGUGCUAGUACCCGAAAGAUGGUGAACUAUGCUUGACGAGAGCUGAGUUAGGGGAAACCCUGAUGUAAGCUCGUCAUCGAUUCUGACGUGCAAAUCGAUCGUCUGAGUUACGUAUAGGGGCGAAAGACCAAUCGAACCAUCUAGUAGCUGGUUCCUUCCGAAGUUUCCCUCAGGAUAGCUCGUGCCGCUUUAGCUAGUAACAUGUGGUAAAGCUAAUGACUAGAGGUAUUGGGACCGAAACGGCCUCAACCUAUUCUCAAACUUUCAAUGUGUGUGAGAUCCGACGGCUUACGGUGACUUACGUUUGACGAAGCCGGUACGAAACUCGCGCGCGCGCGCGGGCAACCGCGCGCGCGACUUGCAAUAACGCGGCACGUAGUGGGCCGAUUUUGGUAAGCAGAAACGGCGAUGUGGGAUGAACCAAAUACAAAGCUAAAGCGUCAAAGUCAACGCUCAUGG
rnacentral:rRNA from 1 species